CCUUUGAGUUACAUUUAUGCAGAAUUGAUACAGGUUAUAUAUUAAACAAUCAAAGUAAGAUGGCAGCAAACUAAAAUUUGUAACUUGAGAGAUCAAGGCUGUUUUUAUUUUAGAUUUACUAAUACUUGUAAUUGAUUUAAAUCUAGAUUUAAUAGUCAAAUUAAUUGAAUUAUUAGAACUAAAUAGUACAAUCAGUAGUUUUAUGCAGCUGAAUAAGACAGGGUCAUCAUAAUCAUUUAACAUUUUAUUGUUGUUUUCAAUGGAGAUUUCUGAUAUUACAUUUUACAUACAUUGCAGGCUAGUGGGACCAGUUCUUACUUUGAGAUGCCAGGUGAAUAAUGAUAUGCAGUAUUGAGCCUGAAAAGGUGAACACAGCCACAUGAAGUUCUCCGAGGAAACAGAAUCAGAGCACUGAAACAGACAUCAAUAAAAGAAAUAGUAGUUUGAAUAA